GACGAACGCUGGCGGCGUGCUUAACACAUGCAAGUCGAACGGAAAGGCCCUGCUUUUGUGGGGUGCUCGAGUGGCGAACGGGUGAGUAACACGUGAGUAACCUGCCCUUGACUUUGGGAUAACUUCAGGAAACUGGGGCUAAUACCGGAUAGGAGCUCCUGCUGCAUGGUGGGGGUUGGAAAGUUUCGGCGGUUGGGGAUGGACUCGCGGCUUAUCAGCUUGUUGGUGGGAUAGUGGCUUACCAAGGCUUUAACGGGUAGCCGGCCUGAGAGGGUGACCGGCCACAUUGGGACUGAGAUACGGCCCAGACUCCUACGGGAGGCAGCAGUGGGGAAUAUUGCACAAUGGGCGGAAGCCUGAUGCAGCAACGCCGCGUGCGGGAUGACGGCCUUCGGGUUGUAAACCGCUUUCGCCUGUGACGAAGCGUGAGUGACGGUAAUGGGUAAAGAAGCACCGGCUAACUACGUG
rnacentral:rRNA from 1 species